ensembl:lncRNA
CCAGAUGCUCGCUCAGCACCUCCCAGGCAUUAUCUCAUUUAAUCUUCACACUCUCAGGAUGGGCCAGGUCCACUGCUCACAGGAGGUACGCCUGCCUUCUGAUGUGUGGUGAGGAGGGCAUUCCAGGAAUAUCCUAGUCCUUUGUAUUCCUGGAGAGGAAUUACGAAGAGCAAAUUGCUGCUGUUUCGACGUGGAUCCAGACGAACAAGUCAGAGCAGGCUGCAAAAGGAAUCCUCAGCCUUUUUACUGCUGACUCAACACGACAAGUAUAGGAAGCAGUCGGAGCUUCUGAAAAUUCUGAGGAACAUGUUCAAAUGCUGCCCUUCUCACCUGCUCUUUAGGACGAGUAAAGCAAGACCACUGAAGAAAGGCUUGCGGGGUAGGUGGGUUCUCAGACUGAGGGAAGGAGACCUGCUGGCACAUUCCCAUAGUCAGGUAAGAUGGGCAUUUUCUUCAUUUUUCGGACGAACCACGACCGGCCACUUGCAGAGCUGGGCUCGAGCUUAAGCUGAUGCAAUGGCCCUGCUCGAAACUCCCUCCCACACCACCGCCCCUGAGUCACUGAGCACCCAAGUGAGAAAAGGGGUUUGGGGACGCUUAUCAUGACUAACAGGUUUUUUGUUUGUUUGCUUGUUGUUGUUUUUUUGCCUUUUGUCCUUUUAGGGCUGCACCCACGGCAUAUGGAGGUUCCCAGGCUAGGGGUCUAAUUGGCGCUACAGCUGCUGGCCUGCACCACAGCCACAGCCACGCCAGAUCGGAGCUGCAUCUAUGACCUACAUCACAGCUCACGGCAACACUGGAUCCUUAACCCACUGAGCAAGGCCAGGGAUCGAACCCACAUCCUCAUGGAUACUAGUCGGAUUUGUUUCUGCUGCGCCACAAAGGGAACUCCCCUGACUAACAGUUAUUGAAUGAAGGCCUCCUACAUAUCAAACAUAGCACCCUAAAUCCUCACAACAACCCUAUUCAAUUAUUAACCCAUUUUAUAGACGAGGAAACUGAGGUGCCAAGGAAUUCAUUUGCUUGCCCAAAGUCACAUGGCUUUUAAGCGGUGGGGAGGAAUGUCAAUCUAGGUGGGUUUCCAGAGCCUGGUCUUUGAACUACUGUCUUCCCCUGGGUGAAGGGAAGCCCUCCCCCACAUUCUUGAAAUGUUCCUGCAGCUGUUUGUCUCGGGGGCUGCGGACCCCCUGGGCUGAGAGCCACCUCUGCACAGUUAUCUGUCAGUCCUGGGCUCCUAGGAACACAGAGAAGAGGUGGUGAUGACAUUCGGGCUCCAGAUGGUCCCUGGCUUUGCCGCAGGAAAUGUCCAGACAGCCACCCCAUCGCUUGCUGACAGUUUCUCUUAGGCAUAUCAUGUGUUAAAGCCAGAGUGGAGGACCUGCUACGUGAUAUGCCGGAUUCAGUGCAAAUCGAAAGUGCAGGCCCCUCUGUUCAAAAGCGCCAAUACAAUUGUUGAAAUAUAAAGCUUUUUCUGGAGUUCCUACUGCGUACAGGGGGUUAAGGAUCUGGCUUGCUGCAGCUGUGGCUCAGAUUGGAUCCCUGGCCUUAGAAGUUCCAUAUGUUACAGGUGCAGCUGAAAAAAAAAAAAGAAAAGAAAAAAAGAAAGCCUUUCUUUUCUUUUCCGGUCUCUUACAAUUCGUCGUGAUAUUUUUAUUUGCUAUUGAAUGUUGUUCUAAGUAAAGAAAAAUUUUAAAUGUUAAACCAUUAGCAUAAAUCUUGCCAUUCCUCUUUACACUGUGCAAUGCUAUUUUUAAAUGCAAAUGUCAGAGCAUUUAAUUCAUAUGUGGAAUCACAGAAAUCACGUCACUUGUAUUUUGUACCUCUUAUAAGCAUGUGUUAGUGUUCUUAUCAUAACUGUGGAAAUGCUACACAAAACUAAAUUAACUCAACUGUUUUUUAUUUUGCUUCUUUUUUUUCCUGGUUAGGGCCUCAUCCGUGGCACAUGGAGGUUCCCAGGCUAGGGGUCCAAUACGAGCUGUAGCCAAUGGCCUACACCACAGCCACAGCAACGCCAGAUCUGAGCCACAUCUGUGACCUACACCCAUAGCUCGCGGCAAUGCCGGAUCCUUGACCCGCUGAGCAAGGACAGGGAUUGAACCUGCAUCCUCAUAGAUACUAGUCAGAUUCAUUUCUGCUGGGCCAUGAUGGGAACUCCUUUUUUUUGCUUCUUCACACGUACACUUUCUAUCCACACUCUAUGGAAGCCGGCAACGUUCAUGAUGCUACAUUUGCUUUGUCUCACUAAAUUUCCACGCAUUGUGGGUUUGCAGCUGUGUGUGGAUGAGACAGCCAGGACAUGUGAGCACACACGCGGGGCGUCUCUCCCCUGCUGACAUCCACACUCCAUGGUCCCAGUAGAUUUCACUUACAAAACAAAAGUUCGAAGAUGAUAUUAUUAUGAAUUUCAAGAAGGUGACAGUAGAGCAUUAAACCAAGUGUGGGUCCCUUCUGAGUACAGCACAGGGUGGCAUGUGACUGUCCGUCUCACGCUCAGGAAGCCAGCUCUGCUAGAAAGGACUUCAGGGCUUCACUGAAGUGCAUCCUUUUGCUUCAGUGGGAAGGAGGGGCCAGAGCGAGGAGACUUCCGGCCCCUCCUACAUCACCCAGGAUUAGGUCUGUCUUGAGCCUCUGAUGGAAAUGUAUGACAUUUCUAAUUAUCCAACUCUAAAAUGCAGAGCUGGAAAGGGAAUUAAACGUCUUUUAGUGAUUUCUCUCCUUUUUAAAGAAAAUAAAUUGAAGCCUAUGUUUUAAAAUAUAGCA